rnacentral:lncRNA from 1 species
GAUAAUGUAAUCUCUUUUGGAAAGUUUGGUGAAAAAUGAGCACAAUAGCUAAGCACAUACUAUUUUAUUUCUUAGUACUCAAAGAUUUUGUCAUCAUAACAAAAGAAAAAAAUGUUGACCCAAGUACUUAAUUUUGAUGUUAGAAAAUACUUGAGUACAAAGGUACUAAUUGUGUGACUGAGAUUGAUUGUAAGAGGCU